UACAGGGGGGGCAAGCGUUGUUCGGAAUUACUGGGCGUAAAGGGCUCGUAGGUGGCCAACUAAGUCAGACGUGAAAUCCCUCAGCUUAACUGGGGAACUGCGUCUGAUACUGGAUGGCUUGAGUUUGGGAGAGGGAUGCGGAAUUCCAGGUGUAGCGGUGAAAUGCGUAGAGAUCCGGAAGAACACCGGUGGCGAAGGCGGUCUGAUGGGCAGUAGCUGACACUGAGGCGCGACAGCGUGGGGAGCAAACAGG
rnacentral:rRNA from 1 species